GAUGAACGCUGGCGGCGUGCCUAAUACAUGCAAGUCGAGCGAACAGACGAGGAGCUUGCUCCUCUGACGUUAGCGGCGGACGGGUGAGUAACACGUGGAUAACCUGCCUAUAAGACUGGGAUAACUUCGGGAAACCGGAGCUAAUACCGGAUAAUAUAUUGAACCGCAUGGUUCAAUAGUGAAAGACGGUUUUGCUGUCACUUAUAGAUGGAUCCGCGCCGCAUUAGCUAGUUGGUAAGGUAACGGCUUACCAAGGCAACGAUGCGUAGCCGACCUGAGAGGGUGAUCGGCCACACUGGAACUGAGACACGGUCCAGACUCCUACGGGAGGCAGCAGUAGGGAAUCUUCCGCAAUGGGCGAAAGCCUGACGGAGCAACGCCGCGUGAGUGAUGAAGGUCUUCGGAUCGUAAAACUCUGUUAUUAGGGAAGAACAAAUGUGUAAGUAACUAUGCACGUCUUGAUGGUACCUAAUCAGAAAGCCACGGCUAACUACGUG
rnacentral:rRNA from 1 species